rnacentral:lncRNA from 10 species
GUUUUUAAUCUAUGAAAAUCUAUGAAACAAUGAUUUUCAGAUGCUGACCAACAGGCUGCACGAUACUCUCAUCUCAGAGGCGAGAGAAUAAACCAAGAGAGCUCUAUGACUGCACUAGUUUACUUCUUGGGGUCGGUUUCCAAACUGCUGUGUAGGAAGAGGAAAUACAAACAAAGCCUGAGAGAAUUGUGGACUUGAAGAGAUAGAGAUCUUAUCUCAGGGAAGGCAAAGGAGCUGGAAUUUGUGGGCUCAACUACUGGAAAGGAGGGUUCUGAACUGACAAAGAGCUCUGAAGAUGUGUAGUAAGGAUGUCUUGAGUGUGUAAUUGAAGAUUUACCUGCACAUGUGUGAGAUGAAACUACCGAAGGUAGAAAAAGAAUCAUUUUGAGUAAGCAGAACAAUCCCUACACAUCACACAGAGGUAGGGACAGUUGGUGUAUACCCAACCAGACUAGAAAGACCUUGUAACAUACAGAGUAUCAAAUAGAACCCACAAAAGAAAUGAUGUGGCCAUAUACUAAAGAGUGUUCUAUCAUUCACUCUAAAAAGUUUAAAAGCAAGCCUUGAAUGAUUGAACUUUAAUUGCAUUCCUUUAAAAGAUGUUGGAUAGUAUAUCUUUUAAAGGAAUAUAAUCAAAGCCAACAACCAACAACAUAACAUUUUCAUUGUAAGAGAUAUGAUUAUAAUGCCAAAAACAAUAAAUAUGGAACAUUUAUUCUAUUAAUACAAAAAAAGUCAGUAAAGGAGGAACAGAGUGACAAAAACAGGUGAGACAAGUCAAAACAAAUAGGAAAAGGGCAUACCUAAGUACAACUAUACCAACAAUUGUUGAUAUGCUGCUCAAAUUUGCUUUAGUUCCAUCCAUGAGGGCCUCCCUAGAGACAUCCCUUGUGACAGUAAAACUGGCUGUUUCCUUGAGAAGCUUGAUAGCGCACCAGCCUGUGUCACCUUUCUUUCCUUCCUGCAUCACUUGUCACUUCACUUUUUCCUAAUCUGUGUUGUCCUAGAUUUGUAAGUUCUGUGCAAGCUCUGCCUCAAGCUGGGAGAAGUGAAAGACAGCAUGAAUGAGUAGGAACAGCAGCUGUCAUUACUAAGUACUUACUCUGUACCACACACUGGUUCAUCUAUGGGGUAUAGGGUGAAAAAGAUAGUUACUUACCUUGAGGUAAGUCUAAUGAGACAUACAUAGAUAUAAAACAUCACAAAACCGUCUAACUACUAGGCCAGGCACGGUGGCUCUUGUCUGUAAUCCCAGCACUUUGAGAGCCCAAGGUAGGCAGAUCACUUGAGGGCUGGAGUUCGAGACCAGCCUGGCCAACAUGGCGAAAUCCCGUCUCUACUUAAAAUACAACAAUUAGCCAGGUGUGGUGGUGUGCACCUGCAGUCCCAGCUACUCACAAGGCUGGGGCAGCAGAAUCACUGGACCCUGGGCGGCAGUGGUUGCAGUGAGCCAAGAUUGCACCACUGUACUCCAGCCUGGGUGACAGAGCGAGGCUCCAUCUCAAAAAACAAACAAAACUGCCUAACUACUGAAUAUGACUAGAACCUCCAAACCCAUCAGCACUUAUUUACAAAAGAUCAGAAUUGUCACUACUUGUGACGUGCAGGUACAUCAUGAAAUUUUUACUUUGUAUCCUUCAUGUGUGUACUGAUUAUUUUCUAUACCCAGCUUUGAACAGCCAGAAAUACAUUAUUGAGAAUUACUAUUGGAGAGGCUUCCCAGCUGGGAAGCUAUUAUCUCAUUAAUAUUCCAAGCCAAGACAUUGGUCAGAGAUGGGUGUGUAAACAUCAGAUUUUACGGCAAUUUUUGAAUAGGGGAGCAAGGAGACUUCAGUGCCUUGUGCAAUAGUUCACUUCUUUAUAAAACCUUUGCUUUUUUGAGCUACAUUAGACCAGGCAGUAGCUUUGCUCUCUGUGGUCACUGACCCACAAUAUUUUAGUAAUUUAUCUGUAAAAUGCUUUGGUAUAUGCAGAAUGGAAAGUAUUUUAUUUUACAUCCUGACUCUCAUAUCCUGGAUUUCUCCAAGCACUUUGCAAAGUAAUUAAUUUAAUUAAAUUACUGGUUGCACAGUGACUUUGGAAGCAAGUGGAAAGUGCCACAUACACUUAGUAGUUUUCAUAAAGGUCAGGUUUAUUCUUGGGAAGAAAAUAUUAGAUCCAUGCAAUUCAUAAAUAUUUGUUGAAAUCACACUAUGUUUCAGGCACUGUUCUAAGCACUGGCAUCUUAUAAAUGAGAAAUGCAAUUUAAAAAUAAAUGAAUAAAGGGAAAAAUGGGAUGAGGCAGAAAACAAUUUUCAUUGGGUGUUCCAGAAAGAAUUCUAUGUGGAUGUGGCAUUUGAACUGAGACCUGAAUGAGGCAGAAGAGACUGCCAAUGAAUACCUUGGUAAAGUGUAUUCUAGGCAGAAGCUACUACUGUGGUGUUUCCUAAACUAGCUUCUUAGUUCACUGCCGCAUAUACACCUCUCAGAAGGAAGCAAAGUUUAACUUUAAAUCAAGGGCCCCAAGAGGAAGAAGGACUUACUGACCUAUAGCUGUCAGGCAUCCUAAGCUCUACCUCUGAUUAAUAAAACCACUCGCUGGCUUUAAUUCCAUUUCAUGUCAUUCAGAUUAUGAGCAAAAGUACUAACAAUAAGGAGGGAAAUUUGGAACAUGGUGAGGUUCAGGUGUCUGAAACACCCAGGUAAUGGAAUCCAAUAAAUAGCUAGUAAAUUGGAUCUCCAAUAUGCCUAUACAAUGGCAGAGUAAGCUCAAUUUAAUGUCACUCUCCUACUCUUAAUAUAUGGAAAUGUGAAGUGAAUUUUGAAAAAUUUAAAAACACAUAGCUGAGGCCGG